rnacentral:rRNA from 1 species
UUUAUGGAGAGUUUGAUCCUGGCUCAGGAUGAACGCUGGCGGCGUGCCUAAUACAUGCAAGUCGAGCGAACAGACGAGGAGCUUGCUCCUUUGACGUU